rnacentral:rRNA from 1 species
GGAUGAACGCUGGCGGCGUGCCUAAUACAUGCAAGUCGAGCGAACGGACGAGAAGCUUGCUUCUCUGAUGUUCGCGGCGGACGGGUGAGUAACACGUGGAUAACCUACCUAUAAGACUGGGAUAACUUCGGGAAACCGUAGCUAAUACCGGAUAAUAUUUUGAACCGCAUGGUUCAAAAGUGAAAGACGGUCUUGCUGUCACUUAUAGAUGGAUCCGCGCUGCAUUAGCUAGUUGGUAAGGUAACGGCUUACCAAGGCAACGAUGCAUAGCCGACCUGAGAGGGUGAUCGGCCACACUGGAACUGAGACACGGUCCAGACUCCUACGGGAGGCAGCAGUAGGGAAUCUUCCGCAAUGGGCGAAAGCCUGACGGAGCAACGCCGCGUGAGUGAUGAAGGUCUUCGGAUCGUAAAACUCUGUUAUUAGGGAAGAACAUAUGUGUAAGUAACUGUGCACAUCUUGACGGUACCUAAUCAGAAAGCCACGGCUAACUACGUG